UACGUAGGCAGCGAGCGUUGUUCGGAAUUACUGGGCGUAAAGAGUGUGUAGGCGGUGUUCCAAGUCUGGUGUGAAAUCUCCCGGCUUAACUGGGAGGGUGCGCCGGAAACUGGAAUGCUCGAGGGUGGGAGAGGUAAGCGGAAUUCCUGGUGUAGCGGUGAAAUGCGCAGAUAUCAGGAAGAACACCCGUGGCGAAGGCGGCUCUCUGGGACGGUACUGACGCUGAGACGCGAAAGCGUGGGGAGCGAACAGG
rnacentral:rRNA from 1 species